GACGAACGCUGGCGGCGUGCUUAACACAUGCAAGUCGAACGGAAAGGCCCUGCUUUUGUGGGGUGCUCGAGUGGCGAACGGGUGAGUAACACGUGAGUAACCUGCCCUUGACUUUGGGAUAACUUCAGGAAACUGGGGCUAAUACCGGAUAGGAGCUCCUGCUGCAUGGUGGGGGUUGGAAAGUUUCGGCGGUUGGGGAUGGACUCGCGGCUUAUCAGCUUGUUGGUGGGGUAGUGGCUUACCAAGGCUUUGACGGGUAGCCGGCCUGAGAGGGUGACCGGCCACAUGGGACUGAGAUACGGCCCAGACUCCUACGGGAGGCAGCAGUGGGGAAUAUUGCACAAUGGGCGGAAGCCUGAUGCAGCAACGCCGCGUGCGGGAUGACGGCCUUCGGGUUGUAAACCGCUUUCGCCUGUGACGAAGCGUGAGUGACGGUAAUGGGUAAAGAAGCACCGGCUAACUACGUG
rnacentral:rRNA from 1 species